rnacentral:tRNA from 1 species
GGGCCUUUAGCUCAGUUGGUUAGAGCAGUCGGCUCAUAACCGAUCGGUCCAGGGUUCAAGUCCCUGAGGGCCCACCA